rnacentral:rRNA from 1 species
UGGGGAAUAUUGGACAAUGGGCGAAAGCCUGAUCCAGCCAUGCCGCGUGUGUGAAGAAGGUCUUCGGCUUGUAAAGCACUUUAAGUUGGGAGGAAGGGCAUUAACCUAAUACGUUAGUGUUUUGACGUUACCGACAGAAUAAGCACCGGCUAACUCUGUGCCAGCAGCCGCGGUAAUACAGAGGGUGCAAGCGUUAAUGGGAAUUACUGGGCGUAAAGCGCGCGUAGGUGGUUUGUUAAGUUGGAUGUGAAAUCCCCGGGCUCAACCUGGGAACUGCAUUCAAAACUGACUGACUAGAGUAUGGUAGAGGGUGGUGGAAUUUCCUGUGUAGCGGUGAAAUGCGUAGAUAUAGGAAGGAACACCAGUGGCGAAGGCGACCACCUGGACUAAUACUGACACUGAGGUGCGAAAGCGUGGGGAGCAAACA